AGGGCUCAAACCCAUGUCCCUUGCAUUGGCAGGCGGAUUCCCAACCACUGCGCCACCAGAGAAGUCCAGGCCUGUGGCUUUAAACAACAUCUUUCUAAGAACUCUUCACUUAAUGUCACAAGUUCUGACAUCUCCCUUAAGCUUCAGACUUUUUCAACAAUCUUAUCAACAUCUUCACUUGACUAUUAAGUAGGUACCUCAGACUUACUAUGUAUAAAAUUCAACUCCUGACCUUAAGCUCAGCCACCAGCCCUGAUCACCCCCAGUCUUCCAUAUCUGAUAACAGCACCAACCAUUCCCCAAGGGGCCCAGGCUAGGAAUCAGGAGGCCACGUUUUACUCUUUCCCUCACCCCCACGACAGAUGUGUCAGCAAGUCCUUCUGGCUCUAUUUUUGGUUAAUAUCCCAAAUCUAACAAUGUCUGCUGCUUCCACCCUGUCACACCCACCAUCGUCUGCAGGCUGGAAUACUGUGGUAGCCUCUCAACAGGCCAUCUUGCUUCUAUGCUUACCCCUACUCAGUCUAUUUACUGCACAGUAGCCAGAAUGAUCAUUUUAAAAAUUACAUAAAUCAGAUCGUGGUCUCUGCCUUGCUUAAAACCCUGUGGGAGUUUCCCACCAUGCUUGGGGCAGAAUCCAUAGGCCCUGUGUGAUCUCCUAUUAAAAUCCUCCUCCCUCACUCUGAUCCAGGCCCUCCUAUUAAUCUUUGAACACAUGAAGCUCAUUUCUACCUUAGGGCCUUUGCACAGCUGUUCCCUCUGCCUGGCAUAUUCCUUCCAAAUCAGUAACAUGGCCGGCUCUGUCACUUAAUUCAAAUAUCUGCUCAGAUGAUGUCACCAACUACUAAAUCAGCCCUCUCCCUCAGGACCCCUGUAUGUUCUUUAUUCCUGUAUUUUUCUUCAUGGCACUUAUCACUACUGGAAUCAUAUUAUAUGUUUGUUUGCUUUUCUCACUCACCCAUUACAACAUUCUGUAAGAGCAAGAACUGUAUCCCCAGUGCCUAGAACAGUACCUGUAAGCAACACUCACAGAGCCUCAACAAAUAUUUGUCGAAUGAAUGAAUGGGUUGAUUAACCAAGGGUACUACUAUUCAUAAGGAGAAAUAUCUUAGAAGUAAGGCUGCCAUCCAUUGGAAGGCAAGCUGUUGGCAUAAUGCAGCUUACCAUGUUUGCCAUGCUGCUGAGGUUCCUGUGAAGUCCACUCAGGGGUUUGUUGAAGCACUUGUGGUAUCUGUAGAUAUGCCGAAGCACAGUCCCGGCCCUGCAGAAAGUUUCCUUCUCAGUUGUGUUCUAGAAAGAGAAAUUCCACAGAUAGCCACUGCUAGCUUGAUUUUGAACAUUGGAGAGAGAUGUUUCCUUCUGAUUUCUUCUUUCCAGAAGGACAAGUGGAGAAGGUAAAUUUGCUCAACCUGUGGAUCAGGUAUUCAAGUAUUCCUGCCAUGUGAAUGGAGGCUGCUUGUCACAGUAAACAACCUCUUCCAGUUACUUGCAAAUGCAGCAGCCUUUUCCUGAAACCUCCCAAUUUCUUUUCCCUUGGAGGGUUUUGCUGAAGGGGUACCUGAAUCAAGUCACUCAACUAAGUAAAUGGGAGAGUGGGGAUUUGCAUGCGGGGCCAUCUGUCUAGAACCCAUGUCUGUUUCUUUAUCCCAUGCAAGCUCUUCUUUCUGUGGAUGCAGUUGUAUGUACAUCAGCUCGUAAUCAGAGUCUGCUCUGUCUUAUUCCUGUAAUUUAUAGUUUUUGAAUCCAGGUUCCCUGGAAAUCCCACAUGUUUGUUGAAUAAAUGAAUGCCCAUCCUUUGACCUGGACAGUGCCACUUUGGCCAGCACUCUCCAUUUAACCCUCCCCAUGGGAAGUAGCAGUGUGAGGAGAUACAUGUCCCCACACAGCUAGAGGUGAGUGCCAGGAUCAGAGCUAGGUGCCCCAGGAGUGUGGCCUGGGGAGAUGAGGGGAAGCUUCUGAGAAAGGGUGCUGGGCCUUGGACAGAGUUUCUGUUAGGGGCUUCUAGCCUCGAAUGUGCAGGGUCAGAACCUCCUUGGAGUGCUGGCAGCCCUGGUGUGAGUCUGGCCACAUGGCUCUUCCUGGGGACCUUUGAGCCUCAGAAGAGGGCUUGUACAAGUGCGGAACCAGCUCUUUUUGAGAACCUGGGAGAGGGAAUGUGUCUCGGCCUGGUCAGGCCUGGUGUAUCCUCUCUCUCUCCACUGAAGAACAAAGGCCCGGAGCCUGGAGGGUGUCUUAGCUUGAGCCCAAUCCAGCUCAGAUAAACCUGUCUCCAGCCUCUGCCAGGACCUGCUCUUGUUCCUUGCCACUCAAAAUGUGGCCCAUGAAGCAGCAGCGUGGGCGUCACCUGGGAACUUGUUAGAAAUGCAGAAUCUCAGACCUCCCUCUGGACCCACUGAGUCACAAUGUGCGUUAACAGGAUCUCCAGGGGAUUUAUGUGAAAAGCACUGUCCAAGCAGCUUUCUAGGGUCUUCCGUAUUUUUUCAGAUUACCAAACUUUUUACUAUAAAAGUAAUAUACAGGGGGCUUCCCUGGUGGCUCAGUGGUUGAGAGUCCGCUUGCCGAUGCAGGGGGACACGGGUUCGAGCCUGUUCGAGCCUGUGCUCCGCAAUGGGAGAGGCCACAACAGUGAGAGGCCCGUGUACCGCAAAAAAAAAAAAAAAAAAAAGUAAUAUACAUUCAACAAAAGUGAAUUCACUCAUUAUCCCAUUAGCCAGAGAGAACUACUGUUAAGAUUUUGCUAACUAUCUCUCCAGAUUUUUUAAUACUUUUUUUUUUGCAAUAGGGACCAACUAUUGAUACUCUUUUAUAACCUUUUUACACUUAACAUAUAGUACUAGCAAUUUCUUACAUCAUUCAGUAAUAUUUAAGAACAUGUGAUUGAGAGCUGUGUAGGAACCUAGGGCAUAUUUGUGCCAUAGUUGGUCAAUCCCCUAUCACUGCAGUUUUUUGCUUCUGUAAAUAAAGUGGCAGCAAGCCAUCUGUAUAAAUCUUUGUGUUCAUCUCUUAUUUCUUUAGGCUAAAUUCUAGGAGUGCAGUUCAUAUUUUAGGGUUUUUCCAGGAAGAUCUUGACCCAGACCAAAGCGCCAGAAUCCUAGACUACGAAAGCUUCCCCUUUCCGCUGUGGAGCUUGACGGCCCAUGGGCAGGGCCUUUGGAAGGACAUGUAUGUACUUAAUGAAGUACAUGUCCUUCCAAAGGGCGUAUACUCUGGCUGGAAAUUUAAGAGCAGCACCAGUAUCUCUGGGCUCUGGGAGUCAAGAAACCUCCCAUAAAUCACCAUACCUCUGGGGGGCUUUGUGGGUGAGCAGAGGUGGCGAGGCCAAGGAGAAGGCAGACACUAGCUGAGUAUGCAGAUGGAGGCAGACGCCUAUGUUGCUGGAGAGAGAACAAUGAGGUUCAAGAAUGCCAAAAAGAGAAGAGAUCCUUUGCUUAUUUGUCCAUCAAAAUCUGAUGAGCCUUUUCUAAAACGUUGGCUAGGAGCUUAGAAAUUAUACUGUCUCAGUUUUGAGUAUGUAGCCAUUUAAGGUAGGAAAACACCCUCUAAAGAUAUUUUUCAGGGACUUCCCUGGUGGUCCAGCGGUUAAGACUUCGCCUUCCAGUGCAAGGUGUGCGGGUUCGAUCCGUGGUCGGGGAGGUAAGAUCCCACAUGCCUUGCAGCCAAAGAACCAAAACAUAAAACAGAAGCCAUAUUGUAACAAAUUCAAUAAACACUUUAAAAAUGGUCCACAUGAAAAAAUCUUUAAAAAUAACUAAAUAAAGAUAUUUUUCAAAAGACUUUCUAAAGGUGAUUAGGAUAAGUAUAGAAAAGAGUUUGAAUCAAAUGGAAAACUUUUAAAAGAAGGAAUUCUAAGGGUCUUUAACUAGUUUUAGUUAAAGUCCUUAAUGUUUUAGUUCCAUUGGCAUUGCGGCAACAGGAUGACACUCUGACCGCCCACUUUUUCGACUGCUUGUCCAGCUUUCGCUGCCUGAGUGUGUCUUGCUUAGGGCAUACCUUGAGGAGCCAUGCGGACUCUGCAGUUCAGAACUGCUCAGGAAAGAGGCUCAAAAGGGAGGCCUGGUCUCCUGCCAGAAAGAAGCCCACCCCUCAUAGGAAUACAGAAGUGGUGGCACACCAUUUGGGAGACUUUGGUGCAGGGAUUCUGCUAGAGUUCUAAUGGGUCUUGACUAGCUUCAUUUAAGGACAUACAGAUCCAUCCUAUAUGUAUUGUAUUCACUAUCUCCACUUAUGCCCAAAUUUAGUCAGCGAAUGUGAUGUAUGAAAAGAAUCCUCUACUUUCACUUUUAAAAAAAGAUUUGAGGGUUGGCAUAGAGCUCUCUGAAAAAUUAUGGACUUUUGCUCCCUUUGGUAGUAGGAAAUACCUCCAACUAAUGGUCCACCCAAGAAGUCCUUCCUAGGCCAGCCAGCUUGCUUGCUUUCCACCUUUCUCUUCCUCAGACCACCUAACUUCAGAGACACUCGGGAGGCAUUGCAUGUGGAACCCAGGAUUUAGAUCAGCACAUUCUUCCAGCAUUUGCCAAGAGCAGGAUGCCACCCAAUUUGGGCAUAAUGGACCUCUUGAUCCCCAAAAGCACUAAAAUGAAUAUGCUGGACUUUGGAAAGAUGUUCUUCUUGAGAACACAAAGAAGUAACUUUUCCUCCCACGUAGCAUCUUUGUGGGUUUUGAAAAUAACAACCUUUCUUUGUUCUGAAGUAUCUUAAUAGAUAAGUAAGCAGUGCUGAGUCUUUGAGGAAAAGAGAAGAAUGGAAAAACAAGCUUGUUAAUCCAGGAGGAAUAGAAGCAGUUCGGGAGAAGGCAUGAGAUAGUCACCUAUCUGCCAAAGCAGACCCGGGACAGCUCUUACCUUUGUGGUGGCAAAGACGUCUUCUACAGGCAGCUCCAUGCACAAGUUCUUGGCCCAGGCAGGAACGAGAGAGCAAGAGACACAGUUACCUCCAACUGCACAGGUCUAAGAAAUAUGCACAGCAUCACCAGAACAUCUGGAGAGAUGGUACCAGAUAGCUUACCUUUCUUGCUGUGAGGAUGUUCAGCGUUUUGAUGAUCUCUUGUAAGGUUGUCAGUCAUGUGGGACCAAUCAGCGCCUCUCUUCCAGGAGAAAAAAUGCCUCACAAAAACAGG